AAGCCUUCCUUGAUUUCUUAAGCCUGGGUUGUGUGCCAUAGCAGAGACUCUUGUUGCCAUCCCCAGCCUUCCUUGAUGGUAGAACCCUGAUUUUGCUUGUGUUUUUGUGCCUGGUCCUAGAACUCAGCCUGUGUUUUCAGUCUGUUUGCCUGCUUCCCUGCCUCCUGGGGUAGAUGCCAGGAACUGGCUCACUCAGUAUUUAUUCCAGCCACAUUUUAUUUGUUUUUCUGUACUUCAGAGGAUGAAAAGCUACAUAUUGUAUCUUCCAAAACUCUUUUGCAGCUAGGAUUCUGGAUGUGAAUUAGGUCCUGCCCAUCCAGUACAUUUGUGCAAAACCUGAAUUCUCAGUGGUGUGAGGCAUCCUUCGUGCUGACACAUAUGCAGCAGAGGGCACAGACUUCCUGAGUCAGUCACUGCAGGGGCAGCUUCCACUGGGCCAGCAGUGUCCAGAUCAUGGGCAAGAGUAUCAGCUGCGUUGGCAGCCCAGAUCCAUGGAAUGACUUGUUCCCUGUAUAUCCAGCCUGAGUUUGUUUCAUCACAGUGAUUCUGUAAAUCACUCAUACCCUUUAAUAAGCCGCCUUCCUUUGAAACUAACUAGAGCAGAUGCCACAACCAAACCCAGGUUGAUAUACCUUCCUUACACCUGGGGGUGACCUUGUGACCCACUUCUGGCAAAGGAGAAAUAAAUAGAACACUUGGUUCCCAGGCUAGGGGUCGAAUCAGAGCUGUAGCUGGCACCGGUCUACGCCAGAGCCUCAGCAACGCAGGAUCUGAGCUGCAUCUUCAACCUACACCAUAGCUCAUGGCAAUGCUGGAUCCUUAACCCACUGAGUGAGGCCAGGGAUCGAACUCACAACCUCAUGGUUCCUAGUCGGAUUCGUCAACCACUGAGCCACGACGGGAACUCCAGUUCGGUCUUUCUUAUUUUCAGCUGAAUGCAAUUCCUAAGUGGUAUAGUAAGCAAUGAACAAUGCAUGCCAUAGUAUUAAGAAAAUAUUUGUGGAUCAACUGAUGAUUGAUGAACAGAAGCACUGAAGCAUGAAAUAGCUCUGUGUGUGUGUGUGUGUGUGUGUGUGUGUGCACUACAACUGAAAGUGUAAAAUAGGCUGUGGUGGAGGACAGCGGGCAGUGAUAUAGGUAGUGGUUUCAUAGACCAAGUCAAGGGGUUAGACCUGCUCUUACGUGAUGAAUUUGAGCAAGUACUUUACAUCCUCAGGUCUGCAUUUUUGAUAGAUUACUUGAAUGCAGCUAAUACUGAAGGCAGUGAAAACUGCUAAGUAUGCAGAUUGGGAGGUGAAAGAUGAUGAAUACUUGCAAUAAUUAUUGCAUACUUUUGAGAAUGUAAGUAUAUCAUUAGGGAAGUUCUUUCAUGUGGAAUUGCUAGGUCAGAAUGUGUACACUUGAGAAAUAUUGCCAACCUGUAUUUAAAAAGCUCAUAUAGUCUAGUGGUGCUAUGAUCCUCAUUUUCCCACCUACAUCAGAGCGGGCAUUUUACAUUUGCAUCAUUCUUUAUUUUCCUCCACAUUCUCCAUUUAAUAUUAUCU
rnacentral:lncRNA from 1 species